AGUGACGCUCGCUGAUUCCGGGGCCGGGUAUUGAGCGGGUGCCCCCUUUUCCCCCGGACCCCCGGACCCUCCCCGGGAUCCCCGGGGCUCGGGCGGUGCUGAAGGAAGCGCUGCAAGGAGCGGGGCAGGCGCUGGGAGAGGCCGGGGGGCUCCGGGAGCUGCUGAAGCGGCGCAGGGACAGCCCUUGAAGACAAGGCAGAGAACAUCAGCCCUGCCAUCAGAAGCCAGGCUCUUGAAACAGCCUUUCUCCUGUGAGCAGCAGAGAGAGCUUCAGGCUCUGUCUUGCAGAAGCUGCAACAUCAUUCCGUGGGGCAUGCACAAAACAGCCUUGUCAGUGGGGCCGUGGCCUGCUCUGCUGCUGGAGCUCUGAGGAGAUGUGAUAUAUGUUAUAAAGUAAUUUGUGUUUUAUGAAAGACGAAUCAUAUUUGUAUAAAUAAAGAAUUUAAUAAAGUGCAGUAAUUUCUUGAC